CCUACGGGUGGCAGCAGUGGGGAAUAUUGCGCAAUGGGCGAAAGCCUGACGCAGCGACGCCGCGUGAGGGAUGAAGGUCUUCGGAUCGUAAACCUCUGUCAGCAGGGAAGAACGGUCACUGUGCUAAUCAGCAGUGAAUUGACGGUACCUGCAAAGGAAGCACCGGCUAACUCCGUGCCAGCAGCCGCGGUAAUACGGAGGGUGCGAGCGUUAAUCGGAAUUACUGGGCGUAAAGCGCUCGUAGGCGGUACGUCAAGUCAAGGGUGAAAUCCCCGCGCUCAACGUGGGAACUGCCUUUGAAACUGGCAAACUGGAGUGUGUGAGAGGAUAGUGGAAGUCCAGGUGUAGGAGUGAAAUGCGUAGAUAUCUGGAGGAACAUCAGUGGCGAAGGCGACUAUCUGGCACAUAACUGACGCUGAGGAGCGAAAGCGUGGGUAGCAAACAGGAUUAGAUACCCUUGUAGUC
rnacentral:rRNA from 1 species